GGAUUAGUAGUCAAGUGGUAUGACAUAGCUCUUUCAAUGCCACCAUCCCGGGUUCGAUCCCCGUCUAGUCCA